CCUACGGGUGGCAGCAGUGAGGAAUAUUGGUCAAUGGGCGGGAGCCUGAACCAGCCAAGCCGCGUGAGGGAAGAAGGUACAGCGUAUCGUAAACCUCUUUUGUCAGGGAACAAAGGCGGGGACUAGUCCCCGGAUGAUGGUACCUGAAGAAACAGCAUCGGCUAACUCCGUGCCAGCAGCCGCGGUAAUACGGAGGAUGCGAGCGUUAUCCGGAUUUAUUGGGUGUAAAGGGUGCGUAGGCGGCCUUGCAAGUCAGAAGUGAAAUCCAUGGGCUUAACCCGUGAACUGCUUUUGAAACGGGAGGGCUUGAGUGAAGUAGAGGCAGGCGGAAUUCCCGGUGUAGCGGUGAAAUGCGUAGAGAUCGGGAGGAACACCAGUGGCGAAGGCGGCCUGCUGGGCUUUAACUGACGCUGAAGCACGAAAGCGUGGGUAGCAAACAGGAUUAGAUACCCUUGUAGUC
rnacentral:rRNA from 1 species